rnacentral:lncRNA from 1 species
CAGAAACACACAUCUGUUUCAGACAUUUAUUUCCAUUUAAAUGACACUUUGAAAGAUCGAGGAGCCAAUCUGUACCGCAAAGACAACUUAUCAUCAAAGACUCUAGAAGUACAAUCGUAUCAAUUCACAAGACUUGAUUUCUUCAACUUAAAUGAUAGCUUUUAGUUAAAAUAUACCUGAGAGAAGAACUCCAAAGGAUGCCUGCCUCAUAAUCUGCCCUGGACUUGUCAUUCCCGACAGGACACCUCAAUGGACACUGCCCCACCCCAUUAAGACUCUGAAGCGUAGGGUCCCAUUGCUUUGCUUCCGAAAUCCAAGGGGAACAAGAAGUACCCAUCUCUUACAAAAAUAAGCAUGUCAACAUUGUUCAGUACAUUUUUCUACACAUAUAAAAUCAAAAUAAAUUGUAAAAAUAUUUUUCCAGGUACAAAAUAAAUAUAGAAAACAUCAAUGUAAAAACAAAAGGAUUGUCCGAUUCAGACCAUUACCUUGCCAAUUUUUCGGGAAGAGUGAAUUAUCACAUCAAUCGACAACCUAAAACUCACCUAGUUAAGUGCAUUAUUUUCAUAAUUUAAUUUUCAUUAAAAAUAAAUAUGAUUAUUAACCAAUAAUAAGGACAUAUACCCAUUUCCAAAAUACAAUGACAUAAGAGUCUAGCAGAUCCCCCUAAUAUACAAGGAAAUGACAGUUUCAAAUAGCAUUCAGUGACAUGUAAAUUUAAUUUCGUGUCUUUUAGGAAAAGCAAAAUUUGACUGCGAAGUCUCCUCUGGUUGCAUUAAGUAAUUUCCAGUCAUGGUAGAUUUUAGUGAUGUCUUAUUUGACCAGGUAAAACAAGUCAUCUAUUUCCCAUCUGAUACUCUCUGGAGCCGAAUUGAACCAAGUAUCACUAUGUCUUUGGCUUACCUCUUCGGGGACCCAGGGACUGGACCCCUGAGCCAACAGACCUCACGCUGGCUUCGCUGGCAGGAGGGUCUGCGCCUGGCUGUGUCCACGCCACACUGGCCAACUUAACUCUGCGCUUCUUUGACCAGUGAAUGGAGGUAGAAUAGAUGAUGUAAAGCAGUAUGACACAAAAUGUUGCAUUUGGCUAUGGAGUUCGUUUUUCUGCUCAUAUUUAAAAGUGAUUGUGUCUGAUAAGUAGGAAGAUCAUUUUUUAAAUUAAUUAAAAACUAAUUUUUUGUUUGUCAGUCUUCCGAUUGGCAGGUGCCAGGAUGCACUCCAACUUCCUCCUGUUGGCGUGGCUCUUGCCCUGUGCAGAGGGUGGACAGGUUCCCUUCAGCUUCAAGGCCAAUCUGAGAGCAAGAGGUCCGUUCCUAGCACUCAGAUUUCAACAGCAGGAAAACAGACAGAAAUUCAUGCCUCUACAUUCCCAGGGGCCACACACUGCAAAUCCUUCUCUCUACAUUCCCAACAGAGAAUGUAAGCACCUUUCAUAUCCCAGAGACAUAGUUAAGAGUUUACUUCAAAUACACCUCAGCCCAUGAUAAAGUUCCUAGUGUUCACAUACAGAUUUUGGGGUCACGUAGAACGAAACAGAAAUAAAAACAAGUCCCAACAAUAAUGAAUAAAAGAGGCUUCAGGAACUGAUGUUUGAAGGAACCUUACAGCUCACUCCCAGGCCACCAUUCUUUCUUGUGAUGGGAGUUGCCUUGUGGGUGCCUGAAUACCACCUUUGAGAGAUCCCCUGAGAACCCAAUAGAUAAUUAUCAAGUAUCUACUCUCCAGCAGGCACCAUGCCAGAGACCCAAACAGAGAGAGGAAUCAGGCUGGAAGAACUUUAAAAUCUGCCAGGAGCGACACAGCCAUGGAAAUUGCUAUAAUGUCCAUUCUGAUAUAACAAACGCUGAAAAUUAAUUAAUUAAAAAAAUGUUAUGAGAAAGCAAAUAAUUCCUGCUACAGUUUGAAUGUGUCCCCCAAAGUGCAUGUGUAAGGAAACUUAAUCCCCAGUGCAACAGCGUUGAGAGGUGGGACCUUUUAAGAGGUGACUGGGUCAGGAGGGUUCUGCUGUCAUGAAUGAAUUAAUGUUAUUAUAAGAGGAGGGUCAGUUAUUGCCAAGAGUGAUUUUAUCAAAGCAAGUUUUGCUCUUUUGCCCACAAUGACACAGCAUGAAGGCCCUCACCAGAGGCCAGUGCCAAGCUCUUGGACUUCCUAGCCUCUAGAACCAUGAGCCAGAUUAAUUUCUAUUGUCUAUAAAUCGCCCAGUCUGUGGUAUUCUGUUACAGCAACACAAAACAAACUAAGACACUUCCAAAUGGAGGACAUGGAGAAAAUGUAAACAUUGCCUCAUCUGUUUUUAAAAUGAGGGUGCAUGGCAGCUGUUAGAUUAAAUAAUUAACAAGCCUGAUUUAAUAUAUCACAGAGCCAUAGACUCUUGGCACGGAGGGCCCAUGAGAGUCACCAAAGCCUGUUUUUUUUUUUCUUUUGGAACUGUUUAUCAAGGAUUCUAAAUAGUAUUGCCUCCUCAGUUCUUGCCUGUAAAAAAAACACGUAGAUACUCAAUAGGCUGGUUGAUCUGUUUCACUUUAUUUCACUCUUUCUAAAUGUUCUGCCUGAAAGUUGGUGUCACAUCCUUCAGAGAUGUCUGGAACUGUGGACCACGCCUGCAGCUGGCUUCCACCUUACUGAACAUGGGUGUGUGGCACAUAGCUGUCAUAUAACAAAUGUGUGACUGAUUGUGCAAAGGUGAAAACGAGUGAGGCCCUCAACUCCACCCUGCCACCCCAACAGCUGAGGAGGGCAGUGGGGGUGCCUGCUGUUUUACAUCCCAGGUAAUUAAACCGCCCCUUGCUCUUCCACUGCCCUUCAUGGACACGGGUGGGGCAGUUAACAUUGUUCAGAACCAGCUUCCACUGAGCAUGGUAUCUCUAAUUAGAGCCUCAGAUCUGUCUGUCUGUCUCUCUCUCUCUCAUAGAUACACACACACACACACACACACACAGUCUGAGUGUGGCGCCCCCGGGCUUGUUUUGCAAGGGCAUUAGAUAGGGAGACAGGGAAAGUGGGCUGGACUGAAGAGUUUAUUUUCUGAAGCCAGACAUUUGUUUGGGCUGCCAUUGGACACUUGAGUAACCUCAAGAGAGGGCUGGCCAGGGCAGGACAGGUCAGGGGAUCCAGCUAAACGGGAGGUCCUUGGGAAUGACACAGAUAACUAAGUGCCGAAUCCCAGGAGGUCAAACAGGCCCAGGAAGGGGCAGACUGAAACUCAUAUCAACACUUGGAAAAAAAAAAGUGACAGAAGACAGGAAAAGGGGUCAGGUGGCACACUCCUUGGGCAGGGCUGGUCCCAAGCUUCCUAUGAAAGCAGAUACAUCGGAGGACUCACCACUGUGCCAAGUGGAGAAAAGCAAGGCUGCUCGCGGGAGGCAGCAUUUGGAGGCCGAGGGCCUGUGUCUCCACCACGUCUGAGCCCCCGGGGAAGUCACUGAGUCACCUGCCCCUCAGUUUCCUCCUCUUAAAUCCAGGGGCAUAAUUAUAAGAAUGGUGCCCUCCAGAGGCUGCUGUGGGGUUUCAGUGAAACAGCAGGUAUGGAUGGACAUGGCUUACGAUGCCCACAGAGAAGGCACUGGAACGCUUCUUUAUUCAGCUGUCAAGGGAUCAGGUGCCCCUGAUAAUCUUCUCAGCAUUGUGUAUUUACCCAGUGAAAGCUCUGUAUGCAAAACCCACGGCCUCGAACCUCAGCUUGACCCUCAUUCAGGAUGCCCGGUCAAAGCACUGAGCACUCAACAGAUGAAUAAAUAAACGAAUGAAUGUCUGACAUGGGAUUUCUGAUGCCAGCUUUUAAUCCUGGAUGUGCCACUCGCUGAAGGACCUGGCAAAGUCACUCCAUUUUUCUGAGCUUUGGCUUUCCUAACUGUAAAAGGUUUUAUCUUAAAAAAAAAAAUACUGUAGAUAAUUUCUAAGGCAUCUUCCAGCUCCAACUUCUUUUACCUCAUUCAGAUUUUCACAUAUUCUGAAUUAAGAGGGUCAAGAACACAGUGCUCUGAUUGUGAAGAAUGUCACGAACAGAAGAACUUCUCCAAGAGUUCCAGGAAAGAUUCAAAUGAAGAAAAAGAACAAGAGCUGAAACAAAGCCCUACAGACUCAAUCUGAAGAGUUUUUGAUUUGCACAGAGAUCACCAGACACUGACAGGUACACUGAUAGAUAGUGCUGUAUACACCACCAUAGAAUCCACCAAAAUUCACAGCCCAAACACUGACUAUAAUCAUAAGCACCUGCAUUUACUGAGCACCUACCAUGGGAUGUUGAGCAGUUUAUACUCAUCCUCUCAUUUAACCCACAUGAUCAUCCCAUGAGGCGGGAACUACUAUGGUCCCAUUCUUCAGAUAACAAAACGGAGACAAUGAGAAGAUAAGUAACUUGCCACUCAAGGGACUUGGCGAGGAAGGUAAAAUUCAAACCCAGGCAGCCUGACUCCAGAGCGCAGACCCUGCCCCAGCGAACAGAGCCCGGGGGUGAAGGGUAUGCCCAAGGUCACACUGGAGGGCUGAGGCCGAGUUCUAAAUGUACCACAGCUGGGUGCCAUGCAAGCUUGUCCCUCCCGCAUGCAUAUCUCACUCGCAUUGAUUCAGAGCAGGAGGGGGAAAAAAUGCCUAACACUGAGCACGUGUGAGGAUGAUGUCAUGGGAGGAGGAGGCUACAACUUCCAUUGAGACAACCAUUUCACACCUGGGCACUCCACACCACGCCAUCUUAACAAGACCUCCUUCUUCAUAUCGUUACUCUGCAAAUCACACACAGACCUUGCCCCCCAAAUCAGGGAUAUUUGGAAUAUAUAUCCUGAGUUUGCAGAGGCUAGCUUAGAGCCUGGGUCUGCAAUGGUGGUCUUGGAGUCUCAGGUCACAGAGGCUGGCCUGGUACCAAGAUCUACUAGGAUAAGCCUAGAUCCUGGGUCUACUUGAGCAAGUUGUAACCUGGGUCCUCUGCAGCCUGGGGCCAUGGAGACCUCUCUGGUACUUGGGGUCAGCCCGGUGCUGGGGAUAACAUGGAGCCUUGGUCUCUGGAUCUAUUUACCCCAAAUCAGGAAAUAACCAAGCAAACCCAUUGCUGCUAAGCAACCACUGCAGGCCAUUAGAUACAACAUCGCGAUAGCAGCCCAUGCAUUCAGCCUGCACCCAGUGCUAGGCACAGCCGUGCCAAGAACUCAAUGUGAAUUAUCUUAAUUUCCACACCUCUGACAACCUUCUGAGGUGAACACUAUUAUCAUCCCAUUUUAUAGAGAUGCAGAGACUGAGGUGCAGAGAGAAUGACCACCUGGGGCCACAGCUAGCAAAUUGCAGAGCCAGGGCUGGAACCCGGAGGCGGAGGCUUGAGCGGAGAUGUAAAUGGAAUGGGGCCUCCGUAAGUGGGUCGCCCAGCCCUGGAAGCAAGGUCUCCUCUUCCCCAGUUAGUAUCCUCCCAUGGGCCCUUUUCCCCAGCUUCCCCACCAGGUAGACAGUAACCUGGUGUCCCAGUUACCUCCUUACCGGGUGGGUCUCUAUUUUCCAUGGCUCCUGCCACCAUGGAAGCUGGAGGCUCUGCAAGGCUGUACGUCAGUACAGUUUCUACAGGUGCACAGGGCUAGCUGUGCCCUAAAGAGCGGACGGAAUCCACAUUCUGCACUUCUAGCUGCACAACCUUGGGGUGUGCACACACACACACAAUGCUUCCUUGUUCUUACCAUUCCCAGAGGCCAUGCUCAUAUUUGUUAGCUGAAAUUUAAAGCUUAGGAAGGAAUUUUAAUAAAUUACUUAUGAAACCAAAGUAAACAUCGGGAUAAUUUUUUGCACAAAAAUAACCACACUCAAGGGGAUCAAAAACUCGCAUGAAAAUUAAUUAUUUGGCUUUCCAAGUCCAUUUCAGCCCUCUGUGCCAGCCUGUUGGGAUAACCGGUGCAGCACCCGGUGCCCGGCGGGAGUUGGAAAUCACCAGUCUGACCUCUCACGGACGGCGUGGCCAAAGUUAACUUAGCAAAUUGAGGGCACUGCGAAGCUCGUUAAAUAGGCAAUGACACAUGAAACAAUGAAAAUUGCUGCUCUUGACCACGCUCACCCUCCUGCAGCCUCCAGGGAGGUGGCCUCGGGGCUCACUGACCCUGUGCCAGGAAGCUCUACCCUCAGGACAGGGUGCCAGAGGGCAAGUCACUGGCUUCCCUGGGCCUCUGAGUUUCCUAAUCAGAUUUGCUGUUUUAAAAAAUUACUCCAAAUGUCAAGUGGAGGACAGAUUGGAAAGUGGCAGGGACAGGCCCGUGGGACCAGUUAGGAGGAGGUGGCUCGAGUCGGGAUGAAUCCAGACAGGUGUGGGCGGCAAGCCAGAGGUUAGCACAGCGGGCGUGGGAUAUGGGGCUCAAGGAAAGAAGGCCUGGCAAGUUAUUGUUGACUUGGAUUUUUCUUUCCUCUCUUUUCACACAGUGUAUUAUGUGGUUACAAUGGUGUGUUUGAAGAGGAGCAGGAAUUAAAUACAUUUAGGGUUUUGUUUUGUUUUUUAAGGCAUGGUGGAUGCCAGCAGGCUGAAGGGUCAGGAGGUCUGGUCUUCCCACUGCCACUAAGUGCUGAGCUGAAGCACAAAUUCUUGAAACAUGGCUGGGUGUGGUGGCUCACACCUAUAAUCCCAGCACUCUGGGAGGCUGAGGCACGUAGAUUACCUGAGGUCAGGAGCUCAAGACCAGCCUGGCCAACAUGGUGAAACCCCGUCUCUACUAACAAUACAAAAAUUAGCUGGUUGGUGGUGCAUGCCUAUAAUCCUAGCUACUCGGGAGGCUGAGGCACAAGAACCCAGGAGGUGGAGGUUGCAGUGAUCCAAGACUGCACCACUGCACUUCAGCCUAGGUGACAGAGUGAGACUCUGUCUCAAAAACAAACAAACAAAAACAAGAGUUUGCAUGACAGUGUAGAUGAGACAGGACUGGCCAGGUGUCGGGCUGGAGGACAGGCGCACAGACUGCACCGUGUGAUUCUGUCCACCCUGCAUUGUGUGAGGUUUUCCGUUUUGGAAGAAAAGGGGUGAAGAGCAUGGCUGUGGAGCAUUUCUAGGUUUUCAGGUCACAGAGUCGCACCCAUUUCCUACUUACUGACUCAAGUGAAACCACAGUGUUGGCUUACUUUGAAAAAUAUUUCUUUUUUUUCAGUCCUGGUUCACCCAUUCCCUUCUAAAACCCACCUACCAUACCAAUACAUUCAGUUCCACUCAACAAAUGUUUAUUGAGCAUCUACUAUGUGCUGGGACCAUGCUAAGAAUCCAAGGUGCGUCAGUGAAGGAAACAGAGAAAGACCCACGGCCCACACAAAGGUUACAUUCAAGUUGCGUGAAACAUAAACCAUAAAAUAUAGAUAUGUUAUAAUAAACAGAUAUUACAUGCUUUGUUAGAAAUUGGUAAGUGCAAGGAAAACAAUAUAAGGUACGGGGCAUGGGAGUGAGGUGAGUUGCAUUUUCCUACAGGGAGGUCAGGGUAGGCCUCACUGAGAAGGUGACAUUGACCAAAUGUCAACAAGGCAAAGAAGCGAAGCAUGAGAGCAUCUGAAGAAAGGGCACUCCCAGCAGAGAGGACAGCCAGUGCCAAGGCUGACGGGGAUGGGCACAUAGGGCAAAGGGGCUGCUGUGGCUGGAACAGACUGCUGUUCAGGGAACAGCAAGAGGCCAGAGGGAGUGAGCAAAGGGACACGAUUAGGGAAUCACAGGUAGACAAUGGUAUGAAGGAUGUGGUUUUUAUCCUUAAUAUCCUUGGUGAUGGGAAACCUCAGGAGGGUUUUGAGCAGAGAAAUGAGAUUUUCAAAGGAUCACUCUGGAUGCUGCUGGGAAGAGACCAAAGGAUGCAAUAAUGGAAGCUGAGGGAGGGUCUGGAGGUAGCUGCACGAAUGCAGGUGAGAGGCAAUGCAGGCUUGAACAAGGGUGGUCGCAGUGGAGGGGCAGGAGGUGGUUGGCUCCUGGAGAGAAUUUGAAGGUAGUUCCCACAGUCUUUCCUGAUGCACCAGAUGGGAGAGGAGUCGGAAUGGCUCCAGGGCUUCCCACUUGAGCUGCAGGAAGAUGGAGUGGCCAUUACCUGAGACGGGAAUGGCUGCAGAUGGGCUGGAUGUGGGGCAGUUAACCAGAAGGUCAGUGUUGGAUUGUUCACUAUGGGAAAUCAGGUAGGCAGUGGAUUGAAGAGCAAGAAAGAGUUCUAGGCUGGAGAUAAAUGGAAACAUCAUCAACAUAUUUAAAGCCAUGAGACAAGGUGGGCCCCUCGGAGGACUGGGUAUAACCAGGGAAGAAAGGGGGCCCCACGCAGAGCCCAGGAUCCUCCAGCACGACACUGUCAGAGCAAAGAGAAGGAGCAAGCAGGGGAGAUGGAAAAGGCGAGCAGCAAGGAGGAGGGAGACCAAGAGCACCCGGUGUCCUGGAAGCUGGUGAUGAGGACUCGCCACGUCAAGCAGGAGGAGAACAAGAACUGCCCACAGGACCCAGCCACAGGGGGUGGUGGGUGCCCUGAGAAGGGCCAUGUGGGUGGAGUGGGGGUGCAGAAGUCUGAUGAGACGGCAUUUGGGAAAGAAGGGAAGGAUUAGGACGAGGCAACAGACAAGUAAAACUCUCGUGCGGGGUUCCACCAGAAACGCAACAGGAUGGGGCAGCGGGACGGGGAAGGGGGUCAGGGAAGGGGUCGGGGAAGGUGGUGGCCAUUUCUGGUCAGGUGGAAAAUGGCAGCGUGUCUGUGUGCUAAUGGGGUGAUCCAGCAGAGGGGACAGCAGGUGGUAGGACGAGAGUGAGGCCACAUCAGGAGCUGUGGAAGAAGAGCUGGAGUCAGUCCAAUACCAGGGGUUCUGGCACCACGGGGGCCAAGUGGCUUCUGCCACAGUCACAGUAGAAGGCAGAGUACGGAGCCGAUAACAUGGACUCAAUCCCAGCUACAUCCAGCCCUG